rnacentral:rRNA from 1 species
AAUACCCUACGGGACGCAGCAGUGGGGGAUAUUGCACAAUGGGGGAAACCCUGAUGCAGCGACGCCGCGUGAAGGAAGAAGUAGUUCGGUAUGUAAACUUCUAUCAGCAGGGAAGAAAAUGACGGUACCUGACUAAGAAGCCCCGGCUAACUACGUGCCAGCAGCCGCGGUAAUACGUAGGGGGCAAGCGUUAUCCGGAUUUACUGGGUGUAAAGGGAGCGUAGGCGGUUUAGCAAGUCAGAAGUGAAAGCCCGGGGCUCAACUCCGGGACUGCUUUUGAAACUGUUGAACUACAUUGCAGGAGG